rnacentral:rRNA from 1 species
AGGACGAACGCUGGCGGCGUGCUUAACACAUGCAAGUCGAGCGGUAAGGCUCCUUCGGGAGUACACGAGCGGCGAACGGGUGAGUAACACGUGAGCAAUCUGCCCUUCACACUGGGAUAACCCCGGGAAACCGGGGCUAAUACCGGAUGCGACCACCGACGGCAUCGUCUGGUGGUGGAAAGUUCCGGCGGUGGGGAUGAGCUCGCGGCCUAUCAGCUUGUUGGUGGGGUAAUGGCCUACCAAGGCUUCGACGGGUAGCCGGCCUGAGAGGGUGACCGGCCACACUGGGACUGAGACACGGCCCAGACUCCUACGGGAGGCAGCAGUGGGGAAUAUUGGACAAUGGGCGAAAGCCUGAUCCAGCAACGCCGCGUGAGGGAUGACGGCCUUGGUUGUAAACCUCUUUCAGCAGGGACGAAGCGCAAGUGACGGUACCUGCAGAAGAAGCACCGGCAACUACGUGCCAGCAGCCGC